UUCCGUAGGGUGAACCUGCGGAAGGAUCAUUAUCGAGUUUUUGAAACGGGUUGUCGCUGGUCCCGUUCUUAACAGAGUCGGGACAUGUGCACACCUGGCUUCAUUCCACUCUUCAACCCCUGUGCACUUGUUGUAGGUUUCAGGUCGGACGCGGGGCUUUUGACUUCAUCGUCGAGAGCCUCAAGGAAAGCCUGAGCCUAUGUUUUACCAUACACACGCUUCAGUUAUAGAAUGUAAACAUCGCGUAUAACGCAUUUUAAAUACAACUUUCAGCAACGGAUCUCUUGGCUCUCGCAUCGAUGAAGAACGCAGCGAAAUGCGAUAAGUAAUGUGAAUUGCAGAAUUCAGUGAAUCAUCGAAUCUUUGAACGCACCUUGCGCUCCUUGGUAUUCCGAGGAGCAUGCCUGUUUGAGUGUCAUGGAAUUCUCAACCUUUGAAAGCUUUUAUCGGUUCUCAAAGGCUUGGACUUGGAGGUCGUGUCGGCUCUGCAAAGAAUCGACUCCUCUGAAACGUAUCAGUGCGAACCUUUACGGAUCGUCUUCGGUGUGAUAAACG
rnacentral:rRNA from 1 species